rnacentral:rRNA from 1 species
UACGUAGGGGGCUAGCGUUGUCCGGAUUUAUUGGGCGUAAAGAGCGUGUAGGCGGCCAGGUAGGUCUGCUGUGAAAACUCGAGGCUCAACCUCGAGACGUCGGCGGAAACCAUCUGGCUAGAGUCCGGAAGAGGAGAGUGGAAUUCCACGUGUAGCGGUGAAAUGCGUAGAGAUGUGGAGGAACACCAGUGGCGAAGGCGACUUUCUGGUCUGUAACUGACACUGAGGCGCGAAAGCGUGGGGAGCGAACAGG